rnacentral:lncRNA from 1 species
UAGGUUUUGGAAGUAAAGAGGGCAGAGACAUCAGGAGCAGGGCAAGGGAAUAGGCCUGAGAGGACAAGGGACGCAGAACAAGAAAGAGUCUGGAAUUAUACACAGGAUGUUCUUGGCCUCCGGGCUCACCGAGGGGGCAGAGACUGGCAAGUGCAGGGAGCAGAUCCCGGAGUCCCCCAGGCCAGCCGAGCCCCACCCCAGGCCCCCCAUCAGAGCCCAGUGAAGAGAAGGUACCAUGAGGGGAAGCCACAGCUCUAACCACCCUGCGUUCCAGAGUGACAGACCAGUCCCCAAGACAAGCCAGCCUGGAGCCAGAGAGAGAACUUCUAGGGGAAGUUUCUAAUGUAGGUUCCUGUUAGAUUCAGACAAGUGCAGGUCAUCCUCUCUCCACAGCUACCGUCACCCGUCUCCAGCCUAACAAAGCCUGCAGUCCAUACCCCAACCCUGGUGUCUCCCACCUCCUAGCCUCUCCCAACAUCUCCUGCCGUCUCUGAUCAUCUUCUGCCAUCCUCUGCCAUCUCCCACCAUCUCCCACUGUCUCCCACAGCCUCCCACCGCCUCUUGCCAACUCCCACCAUCUCCCACCAUCUUCUGCCAUUUUCUGCCAUCUCCCGCUGUCUCCCACCAUCUUCUGCCAUACUCUGCCCUACCCAUCUUCAAAGAACAGAAUAUACUGGGCCACAUCAGGCAAUACUGUGAGGGCAGGACUGAGUCCAUGGGUGCAGCUGCUCAGAGCUCAGCAAAGUCAUUGGCCUGGAUGGUGGAGAGCUUGGGGACAGGUCACGCUUCCCCCAGCCUCCCCCCAUCCAUGAUGCCCACCGGACCUUCGAGGGUCGCCCUCAUCCAAGGGACCUGGGACAGCCUGCCGCCUCUGUUGACUGCAAGGAAGCUGGGACAUGCAGUCUUGAUGCUAGGUGGCCACAGGCUCAAUAAAAAUUAUUUUACUCUGGAAGGAGGGAGAACUACUGUGAGUUUACCAGGAAAGCUUCUGCUCACAUAUAUCCAGGAAGAAUCUGACCUUCAAGACGAUUGAGAGCUAAACAAAAAAUCAAACAGCAGCAGCAUGGUUAACAACAUGAAGCAACCGUGACCAUGAGAACAGAAACAGGCAAGAAAACACUUAUGUGUCAGCAAAGGACACAGGCAGGGUGAAGGUGGACAGUUCAAAAACAAAAGAAACAGCAGAAGGUACUGGCUUUGCAAAAUCAAACACCAGUCUCACAGAAGAGCAGCCAAGGAACAAAAGCAAUUGUACCUCAUUUAAAUCACCACAUUAGUUUCAUAGCCUGUGAGCGCAGCUAAAUGGAACAAUCUAAUGCUUAGCAAUGAGUUUGUUUGUUCAUGUAACUUCAGGUUUCAAGAUGCCCUGUCAACUCCACCAAGUCAUCGUUGCUCGGUUUGCAGAUGACCAGCUCAUCAUCGAUUUUGAUAAUUUUGUUCGGUGUUUGGUUCGGCUGGAAACGCUAUUCAGUAAGUGGAUAUUUGGGGAAUGAUUCAUUUCUGUUCUCUUGAUAUUAAAGUGGCCUGCCUUUCACCUCGGUGAAAUCAUCUAAACUAGAGACAUGUCUUCCAGGAGUUGAGAAUGAAAUUCCCUCUUUACUAAUUUGAGGGUGAGGAAGAAAGCAUGUAUGGUGGUCAAUGAAGUCAGCUGCUGAACUGAAAAGAGGAUAAUGUGAUCUGUUUCAGCUCACUCACUUGUGACACCCUCUUUUUCUCCCUCCACAGAGAUAUUUAAGCAGCUGGAUCCCGAGAAUACUGGAACAAUAGAGCUCGACCUUAUCUCUGUGAGUCAGCAGCUCGUGCCCCCGCCUUGCUUCUAAGGGGAUGGGGGAGGCAUGGGGCGGAAAGGGCUGUUACUUGAGUGAUCUGCUUUUUCAAGUUUUGCUUUAAAGAGCUCUUGGUCUGUCGGGGCCAGGCCUGUAACCGGUUGUAAGAUCCCACAAUGCACUUUUACUUGCAGUUGUUUUCCAACCACCUAUUCUCAAGUCCAAAAUGCACGCCUGGCUCCCUCUUCCCAUGAGCUUUGACUUGAGUGUAGCUCAAGGUUAAACUAAGGAGUGGCUGCAGGAUCAUGCUUAGAAAAAUGAACUCCUGAUUAGCAUGCAAGGGAGAACAUGUUUAUAUAAAGAAAUCCUUCAGCUGAAAUUCAAGUUGGGUUUUGGGAAGAUCCAUCAUUCUUAGAAGGGAUCUACUUAAAAUACUUUAAGCAAAUUAGUUUUCUCUACUCCCUCCCCGUUUAAGAUAAAACCAAUACUAGUAAAUACGUUUGCCAUUUUUUAUUAUUAUUGCACUCAUGUGUCUGGAACCCUAGCAAUACACAUCUCUGAAAUGAUCAUCAAUCUGAAUUAAGUGGGUAUGCUAAUUUCACAAAAAGCAAAGCGUAAAAUGUUCUCGUGUCAUCCCAAUGACAGGAAGUUCUCUCACUGAAAGAAAGAAGCCAGGUGGGGUAUACUUCCAUUAUCAAACAGUUAAUCACAUGGUUAACUAUUAUAUAAUUUCUAAAAAUAUGAGGUCCCUCCACCCCUCCACACUUCUCAUCUCAUGGUUUAAAAUUAAGUGACACCUGUGCAAGACCACCAGCUGUGGUUAUGAGGAAUGUCUCAAAUUUCCUGUCUAGGGUACUAUAAAGUUUACUCUGGAUUCUCUGGAGUUUGGGUUCCCCCCACAACCUGCCUUCUCUUUAAGGAAAGGCAACUGAAAUCUAGCACCUCUUGCUACUUAUAUGAGCAACUCUGUUUCUGGAAAGGAGGUUGUACAGCUUUUGGCAAACAGCUACGGUCUACCUGCAGCUCCUUAUAGAGGCGAUCAAGCUCAGCCACUGCAGACUGAUUGUCAUGGUGGCCGUCGAUCCUGCCGUUCUUGAGCAUCUCUAGCUGCCUGGUCAGUUCUUCUACUUUUGACACAGCCAGGACGAGCUCCCUCUGUUUUUGCUGGAACAAAUUAUUCAUCUGUUCAAUUUCCUCCACUAGAUGAGACAGAGAACAGCAACAACAGUUGAAAAGAAAAAUAAGAAUGGACUACUUCCCAGGCAACCGGGCUUUACAAUGAACUUUCUAAUAAACAGCAGAAAAAUUUUUCAGAAUGUCCUGGAAGCAACCGACUUCUUUUAGAAGCAAGUGAAAUCAACAGAGACAUCUCUAAAUCUCUGUGCUUCAAUAUCAAUGUAUCUUUAUCAGAAUUUGCAUUAAAAAUAUUAUUAAACUCCAAAUUUUAGAAACAAUAAAAAUUUCUUUAGAACUUUCAAUUUUAUAACAUUAGGUGGAUCUAUUAAACCACAAACAUUCUGAUUAAAAUGGUAUCGUAAUAGAUGGAGCUAUUAUAUGAACAAAAAUCCUUGACUUCAUCAAAUUCUCAGUCAAAAAAUAUUAAGGGGAAAAAAUGCUACAUUUUCCAAAGGUAUCUUAGAAAUCCUGUAUAAAACAUUCAACAGCUGAAUUCAAUUCAGAGGAACCUGCAGCAUCAAAACUGCAGUAAAUUAUAUUUUUUCAAAAGAUACCCUUUAAAGUUAUCUACAGAUCAACCAUGGUGGCUUGCACCUGUAACCCCAGCUACUCAGGAGGCUGAGGUGGGAGGAUCACUUGAGGCCACGGUUCAAAAGACCAGCCUGGGCAACGCAGUAAGACCCUG